rnacentral:rRNA from 1 species
UGGGGAAUUUUGCACAAUGGGGGAAACCCUGAUGCAGCGACGCCGCGUGAUUUAGAAGGCCUUCGGGUUGUAAAAAUCUUUUCUAUGGGAAGAAAAUGACAGUACCAUAGGAAUAAGGACCGGCUAAUUACGUGCCAGCAGCCGCGGUAAUACGUAAGGUCCGAGCGUUGUCCGGAAUCAUUGGGCGUAAAGGGUACGUAGGCGGGUAAGCAAGUUAGAAGUGAAAUCCUAUAGCUCAACUAUAGUAAGCUUUUAAAACUGCUCAUCUUGAGGUAUGGAAGGGAAAGUGGAAUUCCUAGUGUAGCGGUGAAAUGCGCAGAUAUUAGGAGGAAUACCGGUGGCUGACGCGACUUUCUGGCCAUAACCUGACGCUGAGGUACGAUAGCGUGGGUAGCAAACAGG